CCAGGUAUAGAUGCUGUAGAUCUAGAUGGUGGUGUAGAUGUUGGUGUCCAGGUGUAGAUGCUCUAGGUCUAGACGGUGGUGUAGAUGUUGGUGUCCAGGUGUGGAUGCUGUAGGUCUAGAUGGUGGUCUAGAUGGUGGUGUCCAGGUGUAGAUGCUCGAGGUCUAGAAGGUGG